rnacentral:sRNA from 1 species
GGGCCUCAGGUUGGACGCAAGCCAAAGACCCCGGAGCCCGGAUUACCCCGCCUCGCGAAGGGCGCCCGUGUUCUGCCUGCUUUUAUGGCUGCAUACCAUGUGCAUACAGUGUCUGGGAGGCCAGACGAGGGCACCAGAAACUGGAGUUACAGAACGUUAUGAGCAAGUCUGUCCGAGAACAACUGGAGUGAGCAGGUUCUCUCUUUUCCCCACAUGGAUCCCAGCUAUCAACUCAGGUUGGUAAGUCUUACACUGUGGGAAGGGGAGCUUCAGACUAACACUAAGCAAGUCUAAAAUACCAGAAAACGCAUGCUUCAGCUCUGACCAGCAUUUGAGAAAGACAGAGGAGAGAAAAAUAAGAAAAAGGGGAAGCCAUCUUAUCAUCUCCUUUAUUGAAAGAGGAAAAAAAUGGGGUAGGGGUGUUUUAGUUGCUGUUCCAUUGCUGUGAAGAGAUACCAUGACCAUGGCAACUCUUAUAAAAGUAAGUAUUUAAUUUAAGUGCCAGAGGUUUAGUUUAUUGUUAUCAUGGCAUGCAGGCAGACAUGGUGCUAGGGAAGCACAGGUUCUACAUGUGGAUCAGCAGGCAUCAGGAAGAAGGAGACACUGGGGCUGGCUUGGGCUUUUGAGACCCCAAAGCCUACCUACCCCAACUGACAUACUUCCCUCAGCAAGACCAUACCUAAUCUCUCUCAAAUAGUGCCGUUCUCUAAAGACCAAGCAUUCAAAAAAAAAAAAAAAAAAAAAGAGCCUACGGGAGUAUUCCUGUUCAAACCACCACACUUAGCAACCUUCAAAAGCCACCAAAAUCCAAAAUUGUAUAUAUAGUGACUGCUAAGACACAAGGGCAAUCUCCUUUCAGAAGCCCUGUCUGUUGGAGGCAUGGACCUGAUUCCCCAUUGUAGUAUCCUGGACACCUGUUGAAGUAUCCAUUUUUUUUUUCUGUCCUGUGGCAAAGCACCAAAUGGGGGCACAUGGUUGAAAAUAGAAAUAGAGCCAGUUUAUUAGGAAAGGAAAAGCAUUCCUGAGAAUGGGAGAGGCCUUGUGAGCCAA